UCGUUUAAUUUAAUAAUUACUAAAACCAGUAGUUCGAAAGAUAUAUUUAAAAAUAAAAGAUAAAAUUCCAAAAAAUUAAUUAUCUAUUAACGUGGAUUUGGACGACAAUAGGUUUUUAGUUUGUGAUGUUUCAUGUGAUGAUCAUUUUCAUGUUCAUCGUCUUUGAAUUGACAUGAGGAUAUCUAUGGAAAAGUAACUAAUCUGAAAGUAAGCCAACAUAUCGUUUGUCCUUUGUGUGCUAAAGAAAAGAUUUUCUUUUCGCAUCGUGAGGAAGUAUUACAUCAAUUAAAAAAUGUUAGGAAGUUGAUUACUUGUCAUGGAAAAGUAUACCAAUGGAAAUUAUUUGUUAAAGAAGUAUAAUUCUAAGGGUUUUAAGAAUAAAUUGGUUGAACCCAAAAUCUGGAGGAAGUACCUAUAUCCAUACACAGAAUAUGCCCAUUAAGAAUACUAGUCCAAAUUUGCUUUAAUGGAACGAUUAGGGCCCGAUAUAUUUGAAACUCAUGUUGGACAUAGUAUUGAGUUGGGUAGAAUAUUAUUCUACGUUAAGUGAGGAUAUCAGAUACCUAUUAUUGUACUGUAUUUUAAUAUAUACAUUAGAAUUGUUGGUUUUUU